rnacentral:rRNA from 1 species
CCCUUAGAUGUUCUGGGCCGCACGCGCGCUACAAUGGCGCUUUCAGCGAGUUCCUAUGUUGAAUUUUCCUGGGUAUUCUUGGAAGCGGCGUCUUGACUUGGGAUAGAUCCUUGUAAUUGUUGGUUUUGAACGAGGAAUUCCUUGUAAUCGCGGUUGAUCAGCUCGCGUUGAAUACGUCCCUGCCCUUUGUACACACCGCCCGUCGCUCCUACCGAUGAAUCGUCCGGUGAAGUUCACAGAGUGGCGGUUCGUGGAGUUGCUCGCGAAGUGAAAUGGACCUCACGAUUUAGAGGAAGGAGAAGUCGUAACA